rnacentral:rRNA from 1 species
AAUAGCCUAACGGCUGAACCAGCAAUUUGGAGGAAUGAAUAGUAAAAACUAGUUGCAUAAUUUUAUGCAAUAUCAAUUAAUUUGAAUAAAAUUCUGGGUAAAUCUAGAUGAUGACUUAAUUUACUCAUAGGUCUUGACCAAAGUACGUGCCAGCAGUCGCGGUAAAACGUUAAAGACAAGCGUUAUUCAUCUUUAGUAGGUUUAAAGGGUACUUAGACGGCAGACCAAACCAUAGUAGGAACUAGUUUGCUUGAGUUACUUAUGAAGGGGCUAAAAAGUACUAAUGGAGUAGAGAUAAAAUGCUAAUAUACCUUUUUCAUAAAAAUUUUAAUGGCACUGGUAAAAGUGAAAGCAUCCCCUUAUGCGAUAACUGACGUUAAAGGACGAAGGCUUUGAAUCGCGAAUAGGAUUAGAUACCCUAGUAGUCGAAGCAGAAAAUGAUGAGUGUCAUAAAUUAGAAAAUGCUAAAUUUUAAUCUAUAAAUGAAAGUGUAAGCACUCCACCUUAAGAGUACUGUGGCAACACAGAAAUUGAAAUCAUUAGACCGUUUCUGAAACUAGUAGUGAAGUAUGUUGUUUAAUUUGAUAAUCCGCAAAAAACCUUACCACAACUUGAAUAUGUAUAUUUAAUAUAUUUACAAGCGUUGCACGGCUGUCUAAAGUUGAUAUCGUGAGAAUCUGGUUAGCUCCAUUAAAUCGACGUAAACCCUCAUUUUACUUUAAAGUAAAAUGUUUUAUCACUAUAAAGGACAUAAUAAAAGGGAACAAGACAAGUCAUCAUGGCCUGAAUGUUGU